rnacentral:rRNA from 1 species
UACAGAGGUCCCAAGCGUUGUUCGGAUUUACUGGGCGUAAAGGGUGCGUAGGUGGGCAAGUAAGUCAGUGGUGAAAUCUCCGGGCUUAACCCGGAAACUGCCAUUGAUACUAUUUGUCUUGAAUACUGUGGAGGUCAGCGGAAUAUGUCAUGUAGCGGUGAAAUGCUUAGAUAUGACAUAGAACACCAAUUGCGAAGGCGGCUGGCUACACAAAUAUUGACACUGAGGCACGAAAGCGUGGGGAUCAAACAGG